rnacentral:rRNA from 1 species
UACGGAGGGGGCUAGCGUUGUUCGGAAUUACUGGGCGUAAAGCGCACGUAGGCGGCUUUGUAAGUUAGAGGUGAAAGCCCUGGGCUCAACUCCGGAAUUGCCUUUAAGACUGCAUCGCUUGAAUUGUGGAGAGGUAAGUGGAAUUCCGAGUGUAGAGGUGAAAUUCGUAGAUAUUCGGAAGAACACCAGUGGCGAAGGCGACUUACUGGACACAUAUUGACGCUGAGGUGCGAAAGCGUGGGGAGCAAACAGG